rnacentral:rRNA from 1 species
AGCUCCAAUAGCGUAUAUUAAAGUUGUUGCGGUUAAAAAGCUCGUAGUUGGAUUUCUGUGGAAGGCGGCCGGUCCGCACUUCGUGCGUGUAUCUGGUUCGGUUUCUGCAUCCUCUUGGGGAAGGAUUCUGUGCUUGAUUGCAUGGGUUCUGAUUCAAGACUUUUACUUUGAGGAAAUUAGAGUGUUCACUGCAAGCAAUCGCUUUGAAUACAUUAGCAUGGAAUAAUAAUAUAGGGCUAUAGCUUUAUUUUGUUGGUUUCUAGGGCAAUAGCAAUGAUUAAUAGGGAUAAUUGGGGGUAUUCGUAUUAACACGUCAGAGGUGGAAUUCUUAGAUUGUGUUACGACGAACUACUGCGAAAGCAUUUACCAAGGGUGUUUUCAUUGAUCAAGAACG